rnacentral:rRNA from 1 species
GCGAUUUCCGAAUGGGGAAACCCAGUGUGUUUCGACACACUAUCAUUAACUGAAUCCAUAGGUUAAUGAGGCGAACCGGGGGAACUGAAACAUCUAAGUACCCCGAGGAAAAGAAAUCAACCGAGAUUCCCCCAGUAGCGGCGAGCGAACGGGGAGGAGCCCAGAGCCUGAAUCAGUGUGUGUGUUAGUGGAAGCGUCUGGAAAGGCGUGCGAUACAGGGUGACAGCCCCGUACACAAAAAUGCACAUAUUGUGAGCUCGAUGAGUAGGGCGGGACACGUGGUAUCCUGUCUGAAUAUGGGGGGACCAUCCUCCAAGGCUAAAUACUCCUGACUGACCGAUAGUGAACCAGUACCGUGAGGGAAAGGCGAAAAGAACCCCGGCGAGGGGAGUGAAAAAGAACCUGAAACCGUGUACGUACAAGCAGUGGGAGCCUCUUUAUGGGGUGACUGCGUACCUUUUGUAUAAUGGGUCAGCGACUUAUAUUCUGUAGCAAGGUUAACCGAAUAGGGGAGCCGAAGGGAAACCGAGUCUUAACUGGGCGUUAAGUUGCAGGGUAUAGACCCGAAACCCGGUGAUCUAGCCAUGGGCAGGUUGAAGGUUGGGUAACACUAACUGGAGGACCGAACCGACUAAUGUUGAAAAAUUAGCGGAUGACUUGUGGCUGGGGGUGAAAGGCCAAUCAAACCGGGAGAUAGCUGGUUCUCCCCGAAAGCUAUUUAGGUAGCGCCUCGUGAAUUCAUCUCCGGGGGUAGAGCACUGUUUCGGCAAGGGGGUCAUCCCGACUUACCAACCCGAUGCAAACUGCGAAUACCGGAGAAUGUUAUCACGGGAGACACACGGCGGGUGCUAACGUCCGUCGUGAAGAGGGAAACAACCCAGAC